UACGUAGGUGGCAAGCGUUACUCGGAAUCACUAGGCGUAAAGCGCAGGUAGGCGGUUUGGUAAGUCUUUUGUGAAAGCUCCCGGCUCAACUGGGAGAGGUCAAAGGAAACUACUAGGCUAGGGUGUGGUAGGGGAUACUGGAAUUCCUGGUGUAGCGGUGAAAUGCGUAGAUAUCAGGAGGAAUACCUAUGGCGAAAGCAGGUAUCUGGGCCAUCACUGACGCUGAGCUGCGAAAGCUAGGGGAGCAAACAGG
rnacentral:rRNA from 1 species